rnacentral:rRNA from 1 species
UACGGGGGGAGCAAGCGUUGUUCGGAUUUACUGGGCGUAAAGGGCGCGUAGGCGGCCACCGCAAGUCGGUUGUGAAAUCUCUGGGCUUAACCCAGAAAGGUCAACCGAUACUGCGGGGCUAGAGUGCAGAAGGGGCAACUGGAAUUCUCGGUGUAGCGGUGAAAUGCGUAGAUAUCGAGAGGAACACCGGUGGCGAAGGCGGCGACCUGGGUCGAUACUGACGCUGAGGCGCGAAAGCGUGGGGAGCAAACAGG